CAGGUAGUCGGCGGGGUAACGGCCCACCGAGCCCACGACGGGUAGCCGGCCUGAGAGGGCGACCGGCCACAUUGGGACUGAGAUACGGCCCAGACUCCUACGGGAGGCAGCAGUGGGGAAUAUUGCACAAUGGGCGCAAGCCUGAUGCAGCGACGCCGCGUGCGGGAUGACGGCCUUCGGGUUGUAAACCGCUUUUGACUGGGAGCAAGCCCUUCGGGGUGAGUGUACCUUUCGAAUAAGCACCGGCUAACUACGUGCCAGCAGCCGCGGUAAUACGUAGGGUGCAAGCGUUAUCCGGAAUUAUUGGGCGUAAAGGGCUCGUAGGCGGUUCGUCGCGUCCGGUGUGAAAGUCCAUCGCUUAACGGUGGAUCCGCGCCGGGUACUGGCGGGCUUGAGUGCGGUAGGGGAGACUGGAAUUCCCGGUGUAACGGUGAAUGUGUAGAUAUCGGGAAGAACACCAAUGGCGAAGGCAGGUCUCUGGGCCGUCACUGACGCUGAGGAGCGAAAGCGUGGGGAGCGAACAGGAUUAGAUACCCUGGUAGUCCACGCCGUAAACGGUGGAUGCUGGAUGUGGGGACCAUUCCACGGUCUCCGUGUCGGAGCCAACGCGUUAAGCAUCCCGCCUGGGGAGUACGGCCGCAAGGCUAAAACUCAAAGAAAUUGACGGGGGCCCGCACAAGCGGCGGAGCAUGCGGAUUAAUUCGAUGCAACGCGAAGAACCUUACCUGGGCUUGACAUGUUCCCGACAGCCCCAGAGAUGGGGCCUCCCUUCGGGGCGGGUUCACAGGUGGUGCAUGGUCGUCGCCAGCUCGUGUCGUGAGAUGUUGGGUUAAGUCCCGCAACGAGCGCAACCCUCGCCCUGCUUGCCAGCACGUCAUGGUGGGAACUCACGGGGGACCGCCGGGGUCAACUCGGAGGAAGGGGAUGACGUCAGAUCAUCAUGCCCCUUACGUCCAGGGCUUCACGCAUGCUACAAUGGCCGGUACAACGGGAUGCGACCUCGUGAGGGGGAGCGGAUCCCUUAAAACCGGUCUCAGUUCGGAUUGGAGUCUGCAACCCGACUCCAUGAAGGCGGAGUCGCUAGUAAUCGCGGAUCAGCAACGCCGCGGUGAAUGCGUUCCCGGGCCUUGUACACACCGCCCGUCAAGUCAUGAAAGUGGGUAGCACCCGAAGCCGGUGGCCCAACCUUUUUGGGGGGGAGCCGUCUAAGGUGAGACUCGUGAUUGGGACUAAGUCGAAACAAGGUAGCCGUACCGGAAGGUGCGGCUG
rnacentral:rRNA from 1 species